rnacentral:rRNA from 1 species
UACGGAGGGGGCUAGCGUUGUUCGGAAUUACUGGGCGUAAAGGGCGCGUAGGCGGGCGGCCGAGUCCGGGGUGAAAGCCCCCAGCUCAACUGGGGAAGUGCCUCGGAUACCGGCCGUCUCGAGGGAGAUAGGGGCGUGCGGAACUUCCGGUGGAGCGGUGAAAUGCGUAGAUAUCGGAAGGAACACCAGUGGCGAAGGCGACUACCUGGCCUGUUCUUGACGCUGAGGCGCGAAAGCUAGGGGAGCAAACGGG